UCGGUUCCAUUUUAGCUUCAAUUUCCUCUGGACCAUAAAAACAGUGGAGUUUACCCCCUCUCAGAGCACAGUACAGCCUUCUCCAGCCAACCAGACCUUUUCCUGUUUGCUGGAAGCGGAAAAAAAAAAAAAAAAAGUCAAGCAACUAUCAAUUAUCAAUUUCCAUCACAGCAACCUCAACUUUAACCCCAGCUCGGAAUCAGCUAUUCAUCGGCUGUACAGUUAAGUCGGAGCACCUCAAACCCAAGAGCGGAGAAGACGCCUGGAGUUCUCAGAAGCAUUAAGCAAAAUGAAGAACACUAGAAGAUGUUGACUACCUGGUAAGAAUGCAGAUUUUUCUUUCUUUCUAAUGGAAUCUUUUAGCAAAAAAAAA
rnacentral:lncRNA from 1 species